UACGAAGGGUGCAAGCGUUAAUCGGAAUUACUGGGCGUAAAGCGUGCGUAGGCGGUUUCUUAAGUCUGCUGUGAAAUCCCCGGGCUCAACCUGGGAAUGGCAGUGGAUACUGGGAGGCUAGAGUGUGUCAGAGGAUGGUGGAAUUCCCGGUGUAGCGGUGAAAUGCGUAGAGAUCGGGAGGAAUACCAGUGGCGAAGGCGGCUGCCUGGCCUGUUCUUGACGCUGAGGCGCGAAAGCUGGGGGAGCAAACGGG
rnacentral:rRNA from 1 species